rnacentral:rRNA from 1 species
UACAGAGGGCUCAAGCGUUAAUCGGAAUCACUGGGCGUAAAGGGCGCGUAGGCGGCCGAUCAAGUCGGGGGUGAAAGCCUGUGGCUCAACCACAGAAUUGCCUUCGAUACUGUUUGGCUUGAGACCUGAAGAGGUUAGUGGAACUGCGAGUGUAGAGGUGAAAUUCGUAGAUAUUCGCAAGAACACCAGUGGCGAAGGCGGCUGACUGGUCCGGUUCUGACGCUGAGGCGCGAAAGCGUGGGGAGCAAACAGG